GCCUCCUUUGCGCAGUCGGCAGCACGUCAGUCUCAUAAUCUGAAAGUCGUGAGUUCGAGCCUCACAGGGGGCA
rnacentral:tRNA from 1 species